AGACCCGAAACCCGGUGAUCUAGCCAUGGGCAGGUUGAAGGUUGGGUAACACUAACUGGAGGACCGAACCGACUAAUGUUGAAAAAUUAGCGGAUGACUUGUGGCUGGGGGUGAAAGGCCAAUCAAACCGGGAGAUAGCUGGUUCUCCCCGAAAGCUAUUUAGGUAGCGCCUCGUGAAUUCAUCUCCGGGGGUAGAGCACUGUUUCGGCAAGGGGGUCAUCCCGACUUACCAACCCGAUGCAAACUGCGAAUACCGGAGAAUGUUAUCACGGGAGACACACGGCGGGUGCUAACGUCCGUCGUGAAGAGGGAAACAACCCAGACCGCCAGCUAAGGUCCCAAAGUCAUGGUUAAGUGGGAAACGAUGUGGGAAGGCCCAGACAGCCAGGAUGUUGGCUUAGAAGCAGCCAUCAUUUAAAGAAAGCGUAAUAGCUCACUGGUCGAGUCGGCCUGCGCGGAAGAUGUAACGGGGCUAAACCAUGCACCGAAGCUGCGGCAGCGACACUGUGUGUUGUUGGGUAGGGGAGCGUUCUGUAAGCCUGUGAAGGUGUGCUGUGAGGCAUGCUGGAGGUAUCAGAAGUGCGAAUGCUGACAUAAGUAACGAUAAAGCGGGUGAAAAGCCCGCUCGCCGGAAGACCAAGGGUUCCUGUCCAACGUUAAUCGGGGCAGGGUGAGUCGACCCCUAAGGCGAG
rnacentral:rRNA from 1 species